AGGAACAGUAGGAUCAGAUGCUUCUGCAGGUUCUGUAAGAUCCAGAAUUCUUAAUGGACUAUGAUCACCUACACCUGGAUUAAAGAGAGGAACGACUGAUCCAGAGAACUUGGUGUUCAUAAAACACAAUGUGAAGAGAUGUUGAGCUGGACACAUAGCAAACCUUUAUAAAAGACCACUUCACAUCUUUUAACUAGAUAUAUCUCACCUGGUAGUUUCUCUCUGUAUUUAUAAAAGAUGAACCCAAGACCCAACAGAGAUAAAAUCACUAAAGUGAGGAUGAACAGCACCUUCCAUGGACCUUCUGAAGGAGAACCUGCUGAGGUUAAAAAUCAUUUUAUAUUUCUCCACACAAACAUCAUGUGCUGCUUUUACUGAUUUACUUGCAAUAAAAGCUCUUACAACUUCACAAA